rnacentral:rRNA from 1 species
CCAAUAGCGUAUAUUAAAGUUGUUGCAGUUAAAAAGCUCGUAGUUGAAUUUCGGGGUUAGCAGGUCGGUCGUGCCAUCGGUAUGAACUGGUCUCGCUGAUCCCUCCCUCUUGACGAACUGUGAUGCCAUUAAUUUGGUGUCGCAGGGAAUCAGGACUGUUACUUUGAAAAAAUUAGAGUGUUUAAAGCAGGCUCACGCUUGAAUACAUUAGCAUGGAAUAAUGAAAUAGGACGUUUGAUCCUAUUUUGUUGGUUUCUAGGAUUGACGUAAUGAUUAAUAGGGAUAGUUGGUGGCAUUAGUAUUCAAUUGUCAGAGGUGAAAUUCUUGGAUUUAUUGAAGACUAACUACUGCGAAAGCAUUUGCCAAGGAUGUUUUCAUUAAUCAAGAACGAAAGUUAGGGGAUCGAAGACGAUCAGAUACCGUCGUAGUCUUAACCAUAAACUAUGCCGACUAGGGAUCGGAUGAUGUUAAUUUUUUAAUGACUCAUUCGGCGCCUUACG